rnacentral:rRNA from 1 species
UAGGUGGGAGGCUUUGAAACCAGGACGCCAGUUUUGGCGGAGCCAUCCUUGGGAUACCACCCUUGUAGUACUGGGACUCUAACCAUAGGCCAUGAAUCUGGUCUUGGGACACUGUCAGGUGGGCAGUUUGACUGGGGCGGUCGCCUCCCAAAAGGUAACGGAGGCGCUCAAAGGUUCUCUCAGUACGGUCGGAAAUCGUACGUAGAGUGUAAAGGCAAAAGAGAGCUUGAUUGCAAGACAUACAGGUCGAGCAAGGAUGAAAAUCGGACUUAGUGAUCCGGUGGUUCUGCGUGGA